GCAGACACAUUCCAGCCAAUCAGCAGCAGACCCUCCCUCCCAGACCCUCCCACCUCCUGGACAGCUCACUAAGAAUGCAGCUUCACAAUGAAUGUAAAAUGGAUGCUGUCCAGGAGGUGGGAGGGCCUGGGAGGGAGGGUCUGCUGCUGAUUGGCUGGAAUGUGUCUG